UGUACAAAAAUGUCUAACAUGCAAGGAGAGCGAGCGAAGGGCUCCUCCUGGAAACCAGCCUAACGCUGCUCUCCUCUCUCCCUCCCCACCACACACACAAUCCCUAUAUUUCUCUGUAAAGGUCUAUUUUUGUCUUUCCAACUCAGCACUGCCUCUCUCUGCGAGACCAGGAAACAGUCAAACUACAAACCCCGCAGCCAGCGAAGAGAAAGGAAAAAGGCACUCACUUCAGAUUGCGUUGUUUCUGAGCCUCAGUUUGAAUGUUGGUGUGGAGGCUACAUUUGUGUAUUUGAACAGAAGAAAACUGACAGCCUGAAUGGCCACUUCCGCCACAAAAUCACAGAUUUUGUUUCUCCUGCCCAUUCUGUUUGGGGUAAAAUGUUCCCAAACAGGAAUAAAAACCCAGUGAGAAUUAACACAGACAACCUGCAUCUCUCAACAGACCCUGUUGUUCCUCGCCCUUAUCCAGAACAGGCAUGAUGAAGAGUUUCUUCUUGUAGACUUGAGGUGGCUCUACCAAAAACCCAGCAGUCCCAUUGCAGACUGUCUCCCCUUUGCACAGCCUCUACUGUGGCUUUGGAUCUGUUUCUCAAAGAAAGGGCAAAUGCAGAAACAGAUGCAAAUAAAAGCUUAAGGAGGAAUUAAGCAAGAGGAGAACAGAUUCUUCCCGCUUGUCACUCUUUCUGCCUUCACUUUCACAGGAGCCUCUGGACUUCAUGCUGUCACUUCCUAAAGCAUAGGCACUGCACUAGUUGGAUAACACUGUGGUUUCUAGAGCUGCUUGUGCCUAACUGAGCUCUCUUUUUCAUGUAGUUGCACAUUGGGAUAUACAGCUCUUACUACUACCUACUUCAUUGUCAAAUCAUGGUCUGAAAAGAGAAAAAUAAAUCCAUAUUUGCAUA